rnacentral:rRNA from 1 species
AUACGGAGGAUCCGAGCGUUAUCCGGAUUUAUUGGGUUUAAAGGGAGCGUAGGCGGGUUGUUAAGUCAGUUGUGAAAGUUUGCGGCUCAACCGUAAAAUUGCAGUUGAUACUGGCGACCUUGAGUGCAACAGAGGUAGGCGGAAUUCGUGGUGUAGCGGUGAAAUGCUUAGAUAUCACGAAGAACUCCGAUUGCGAAGGCAGCUUACUGGAUUGUAACUGACGCUGAUGCUCGAAAGUGUGGGUAUC